GACAGAGGCCCCAAGCGUUAGGCGGAAUCACUGGGCUUAAAGCGCGUGUAGGCGGAUCGUUAAGUGCCUUGUGAAAUCCUGCGGCUCAACCGCAGAACUGCUGGGCAUACUGGCGAUCUUGGGCCACUCAGGGGUCACUGGAACAAGCGGGUGGAGCGGUGAAAUGCGUAGAUAUCGCUUGGAACGCCAAAGGUGAAGACAGGUGACUGGGGGUGUGCCGA
rnacentral:rRNA from 1 species